rnacentral:rRNA from 1 species
GACGAACGCUGGCGGCGUGCCUAAUACAUGCAAGUCGAACGCAGUGGGGACGGGUGAGUGACAAGUGGGUAACCUCCCAUCAGAGGGGAUAACACUUGGAAAAAGGUGCUAAACCGAUACUGAUGGAUGGACCCGGGGUGGAUUAGCUAGUUGGUGGGGUAACGGCGCACCAAGGCCACGAUGCAGAGCCGGCCUGAGAGGAUGAUCGGCCACACUGGAACUGAGACACGGCCCAGACUCCUACGGGAGGCAGCAGUAGGGAAUCUUCGGCAAUGGACGAAAGUCUGACCGAGCAAUGCCGCGUGAGGGAAGAAGGUUUUCGGGUCGUAAAGCACUGUUAUUAGGGAAGCGGUAUCUAACCAGAAAGCCACGGCUAACUACGUGCCAGCCGCCGCGGUAAUAC